AGACCGGUGUUUGUCCUAAGUCGGAACUUGAUUGGGCUGAGAAAUCACAUUGUGACUAUUCCACGACUUGAACAAGGGGUAGAAAUCGCAGGCACCGCGAAAUAGAAACUUCCUAGGACCAAGAAGCCAACGACGCCCGAAACCGUGGGGUCCUGUCACAGAAACCCCAGCAGCGCAGCCACCGGACUGGGUUCUGGAGGCCGAGCCGCAGUCCGUGCGGCGGCGCUGGGAAGAGAAGCCCAGCGCCGCCGCCGCCCGGUAACUCCAGGCGCAACUGGGCGCAACUGGGGCAGCUGCGACACCGAAUCCCUCACAUCUGCAACCUGGGUGCUGCGGCCACUGAGAAAAUGGAGGCGCAGACCAACGAGCGGUGCCGCGACCGAGAGACCUCGGCUGGCGAAAUGGUGGUGCCGGGAGCCUGCGAGUGACGCCAGCCGGCGGGGUUGUCAAGGACAACAUUCGUUUUGACGCAGCCAAUGGCGCCGUCACCAAGAAACCAUCGACUCUGAGAAAAAAGAGAGGUUCGGCCACCGAGAAACUCCGUACGACAAGUGCUGUGGCAGAAAAACCGCCUACUCCGCGCCACAGGCAAAACAGCCAAUGGAAACCCCAGGUGCUGCGACCGUGACACCGGCACUAGAGGGUCUCGGAUGGAGAAAGCGGCGCACGGAGACCAGGAAACUAUGUGUAGCACAACUAGCAGAAAACCGUCUGGUCGGCCAUCCGGGAGAAAGCGCGGAUCAGAAACAAGCGACUUCGAUGCAGGGAACCGCGCAGCCACUGAAGAAAGUGACCCACGUGGCAGUGGUGCCAGCGAAACACUGCAGUUUGGACGGCAGCUGUGGGGAUGCCACAGAGAAACAUGCACUGCCACUGAAGUACAUCCAGCUCCGCGGAGCUAGUGUUCAUAUGAUCAAGAAACCGCCAGUUGGGCUCUGCUAGAAACUUUUAGUCCUCCCUUAACGGCUAUCCUACCCACAACAGACAAUGCCUUUACCCAGCACCUAGCGGUGCUGAGACCCGCCUGGGCCAGCACAGAGCGCAGAGCAGUACGGGUACGGAGAAACGCCGGACUCAGUGAAACCAGCCUUGCCUCCAGCGGAUUCCCCGGCUUCGCCGGACGCCACAGGCAGAGUGCCGCGGGGAAACCUCUGGCUCCCUAAACCGAUUAGAUUGUGGGAGUGGGGGGGACACUCACAAGUUGUGUGGAAGGGAACCAGCGGCAAUGGGACCCGGCGAGCACUUGCCCGCAGCAAAUGCCUGCGCUGCUGCAAAAAAAACAACUUUUGGCGCAAAGAAUGUUGCGGCCAGAGAGCAUCCGCUGUCGCUGACAAAGGAGUAGCAAUGGCAAUGAGAAACCGCCGGCGCCACGGCCGACCGCGGCGGCUCACGCCUAUGAUCCUUGCAGUUUGGGAGGCCGAGGUGGGCGCAUUACUUGAGAUCAGGAGACUAGCCUGGCCAACAAGGUGAAACCCCAUCUCUACUAAAAUACAAAAGAUUAGCCGGUUGUGGUGGCAGGCACCUGUAAUCCCAGCUACUCCGGAGGCUGAGGCAGAAGAAUCGAUUGAACUCAGGAGGCAGAGGUUGCAGUGAGCCAAGAUCGCGCCACUGCACUCCAGCCUGGGAGACAGAGUGAGCUCCGUCUCAAAAAAAAGAAAGAAACCGCUGGCGCCGGGAAAGGAGCCGUGCAGCGAUGGACCCAUGGAACAGAAACACACUCAGACAUGAAAAAUUGUCCUGGUUUAAAAGGGUUCCUUUCCUUACAGGUGAGUAAGAAUUGUCACUUCCUGACAGGACCAGGAACAUCAGGAUAUUUGGAGAAUCUUAACAAAAGGAGAAUUCAUCCAAAUCUCUAGGUAUUGCAGGCAAAGUAUGAUAGCAAGAUCCUGGUUUGGUUUCCUAGCAUCUGGACGCUUUUAAAAGUCUAAUUUGAGAUUCCUUAUGAAAA
rnacentral:lncRNA from 1 species